rnacentral:rRNA from 1 species
CCAAGGAGUCUAGACUGUGCGCGAGUCAAAGGGCUGGCUAAACCCCAAGGCGAAACGAAAGUGAAAACGAUUUUUCAUUGGGCCGAUCCGGUUCGUCGUGGCUGGCGGGGGACUUUUCGCCCCCGUUCUUCCCUUCGAUUCGUCGCAGUAACAUGCGGACGGCGCAGGCCCGGGGCUCGCUUAUGCUUCCUCCGCCGCCGUUAAGGCUCGGGAGUCGUCGUUUUGGUCGGGAAGUAGGCGUCAGCGGCGGGUCGGAUUCGCGUCCUUCUCGUUCGCUCGCCUGCCCCUCUCGAUAGGAACCUUCUCCCCGCCGGCGGCGGACGAGCGGCGGGUUCUCUGAGCGCACAAUCUGGUACCCGAAAGAUGGUGAUCUAUGCCUGGCGAGGAUGAAGCCAGAGGAAACUCUGGUGGAAGUCC